ACACCUGUUCCCAUACCGAACACAGAAGUUAAGCUCUCUAGCGCCGAUGGUAGUUGGUCUUACGAUCCGCGAGAGUAGGACGUUGCCGGGC
rnacentral:rRNA from 1 species